rnacentral:rRNA from 1 species
GUCGAGGGGCAUCAGGGAUUAGCAAUAAUUCGCUGGCGACCGGCGCACGGGUGAGUAACACGUAUUCAACCUUCCGAUAACUCGGGGAUAGCCUUUCGAAAGAAAGAUUAAUACUCGAUAGUAUAUUUUCUUCGCAUGUUGAAAAUAUUAAAGAAUUUCGGUUAUCGAUGGGAAUGCGUUCCAUUAGGCAGUUGGCGGGGUAACGGCCCACCAAACCUACGAUGGAUAGGGGUUCUGAGAGGAAGGUCCCCCACAUUGGAACUGAGACACGGUCCAAACUCCUACGGGAGGCAGCAGUGAGGAAUAUUGGUCAAUGGACGGAAGUCUGAACCAGCCAAGUAGCGUGAAGGAUGACUGCCCUAUGGGUUGUAAACUUCUUUUAUAUGGGAAUAAAGUGCGCCACGUGUGGUGUUUUGUAUGUACCAUUAUGAAUAAGCAUCGGCUAACUCCGUGCCAGCAGCCGCGGUAAUACGGAGGAUGCGAGCGUUAUCCGGAUUUAUUGGGUUUAAAGGGAGCGUAGGUGGGCUGGUAAGUCAGCUGUGAAAGUUUGCGGCUCAACCGUAAAAUUGCAGUUGAUACUGUCAGUCUUGAGUACAGUAGAGGCAGGCGGAAUUCGUGGUGUAGCGGUGAAAUGCUUAGAUAUCACGAAGAACUCCGAUUGCGAAGGCAGCUUGCUGGAGUGUAACUGACGCUGAUGCUCGAAAGUGUGGGUAUCAAACAGGAUUAGAUACCCUGGUAGUCCACACAGUAAACGAUGAAUACUCGGAGUUUGGUGUCUU